CCCUUAGAUGUUCUGGGCCGCACGCGAGCUACACUGAUGCAUUCAACGAGUCUAAAACCUGCUCUGAUAGGGGUGGGUAAUCUUUUGAAUGUGCAUCGUGAUUGGGAUAGAUGAUUGCAAUUUUUCAUCUUCAACGAGGAAUGCCUAGUAAACGCAAGUCAUCAGCUUGCAUUGAUUACGUCCCUGCCCUUUGUACACACCGCCCGUCGCUCCUACCGAUUGAAUGAUCCGAUGAAUAUCAUGGAUUGAGGAUGCAAGCAGGUUCGCCUGUCUUCAUCUUCGAGAAGUGAAGUAAAUCUUAUCAUUUAGAGGAAGGAGAAGUCGUAACA
rnacentral:rRNA from 1 species